rnacentral:sRNA from 15 species
UCUGGCAUCCUUGUAGCGGUUCGGCGCGUCGCCGAACUCGCCAAGCACCCGGGCGCCGAGGACGAGACCUAGUCCGGGAAGA